GGACGCAAGUCUGAACCAGCCAUGCCGCGUGAAGGAUUAAGGCCCUCUGGGUUGUAAACUUCUUUUAUAGGGGAAGAAAUGUGACGGUUCUCCGUCACUUGACGGUACCCUGGGAAUAAGCACCGGCUAACUCCGUGCCAGCAGCCGCGGUAAUACGGAGGGUGCAAGCGUUAUCCGGAUUCACUGGGUUUAAAGGGUGCGUAGGUGGGCAGAUAAGUCAGUGGUGAAAUCUUCCGGCUUAACCGGGAAACUGCCGUUGAUACUAUUUGUCUUGAAUAUUGCGGAGGUAAGCAGAAUAUGUCAUGUAGCGGUGAAAUGCUUAGAUAUGACAUAGAACACCAAUUGCGAAGGCAGCUUACUACACAAUCAUUGACACUGAGGCACGAAAGCGUGGGUAGCGAACA
rnacentral:rRNA from 1 species